GGCGGCGUGCCUAAUACAUGCAAGUCGAACGAGAGCGACCGGUGCUUGCACUGGUCAAUCUAGUGGCGAACGGGUGAGUAACACGUGGGUAACCUGCCAUCAGAGGGGGAUAACAUUCGGAAACGGAUGCUAAAACCGCAUAGGUCUUCGAGCCGCAUGGCUUGAAGAGGAAAAGAGGCGCAAGCUUCUGCUGAUGGAUGGACCCGCGGUGCAUUAGCUAGUUGGUGAGGUAACGGCUCACCAAGGCCGUGAUGCAUAGCCGACCUGAGAGGGUGAUCGGCCACAUUGGGACUGAGACACGGCCCAAACUCCUACGGGAGGCAGCAGUAGGGAAUCUUCCGCAAUGGACGCAAGUCUGACGGAGCAACGCCGCGUGAGUGAAGAAGGUUUUCGGAUCGUAAAACUCUGUUGUUAGAGAAGAACAAGUGCUAGAGUAAACUG
rnacentral:rRNA from 1 species